UUGUAUUACAAUACACUAAACAUGUAAUUCUUUUGUUUAUUUUUAUUAUUUUUAUGUUUGUUGUUUGUUUCACUUUUUUCAUUUUUUUUUCCCCACCAUAUUUCAAUUUUUUUCUCUGGCACUCUUUUUGCCAGAUUUUCACAGUUGUUUUACAGUGUAUAAAUCUGCACCCGUGAUAAAAUGAGUUGGUAUAAAAUAAAUUUCAGGCCAAGUUCAGACAGCACUCGGCGAUAAAAACAUAAUCUCCUCAUUAAUAUCAGUGACACAGAUUCAUUUUCUGAGGUUGCUGAUUCUUCUGCAGCAGCAUAUUCAGAGUAUAUUCAGUUAUCCGUGAGGCAAACAUGUUUUUUUUUUUUCACUCUUUACAUUGUGUUAAUGAUUACAGAGAUGAUAACUUUCCUAGGUUACAAAACACUCCGUCAUGACACACAACAGUAUCUGGGUGUCUGAUAAGACUACAUGCGUCGGCGACACCUUCAUCAGUACACGAUGUUGCUGUUUAUUUGUUUUUAGAAGGAGGGAGUUGGAAAUUACGUCACAAGGACUCAUGUGAGCUUCACAACAUCAGGAUCACAAGUUCAAUUCAAACAGAUCAACAUUCACUGUCUGAACCCCGGCAGGCUUAAAAGGCACGUUUAUUUGUUUUUUUUUUUAAAUUACCAAAAUUAUACUAUUUAGCAGUCAAAAAAAGCUGCCCAAGCAGAGAGAAUUGUGGGAUAUUCAAUUUUCUGACUGUUGUUCAUCAGAAAAAUUUAUUAAUUAAAUAUAUAGUAAAGCAAAUAAUCUGCAUCUCUUUUUUUUAGUAAUUUAUGGCAUAUAAAGUGUGUCAUACUACAUGGAAGUCAUGUCUGAGUUCUAUUUACUUCUAGCCAUAACGGUGCUGUUUCCAUAGAUGUGCAGGACUUUGAAUCGCAGAGGUCAAAGUUAGCAAAACAUGCUCAGAAACUGUUUGGGGUUCAGAGGGUUAAGUUGUGUUUGCUGCUCGGUUCUGUGGGUUUUUUUUGACAGAUCCACCCAAAGCACACUUUGACACCAUAUAACUAAACUUGCUACUGUUGUAAUUACUGCAGCCACUUGUGGGUUUUGCUACUGACCGAAAGACACAUCACAUGCCACCUCUGUGGUUGUCAACAGUGAUUACCACCUCUGCAUAUGAUCUCACCUAAGUAGAAAUGAGGUCACAUUUUAGGCGGUGGUGUGGCUGUAAAAACAAUGAGGCUAAAGACUCUGCAGACACGCCAUGUGGACAGUAUCAGCUUGGGUUGCUUGUAAAGACUAUGAUGAUGAAGGCAGCAUCAGGAAAUUGUAAAGUGAAAAGGCUCAGUAAUCUUGUUUUUGUCAGUAUCUUCUUGUGGAAAAACAAAGCAGACCCUGAUCUACUACACAUCGGUAGAACCGCAAACAUACUAAAGGACACAUUGCACUUUAAUAGUUUUAUCAGGUUCAUCAAAUCACAAACAGACUUUAAAACAGCUUCAGGGCCAUAAGAGAACUGAACAUGACCAAACACUGACACUACAUCUACAUUCCUACUGUACCUCAAUUGUAUAUGUACCUUUUAUUUAUGUACUAAAUGUUCACGUCUGUUUACAUAAGGGAUAGACCAAUUAUCGGCCUGGCUGAUUACUGUGGCCAACAUUUGACAUUUUUCCUAUUAUUGGUAAAUUAUUGACCAAUUAUUGAUGAAUUAGAUGUGCUACUUCAGGUCUGAUGCAGCCUUCUCUAGUGGCUAGGUUGGAGGGCAGCCAUGAAGACAAACUGAUCAGUCUCAAUCGAAAGCAUCCUAAUUUAAUCAGUCCUAAUUCCAUUUUACAUAUUCAGUUACUGUCAUCUUAUUGAUGAAGAAGCCUAGUUAUGAAUUACAGGUUCUCUGUCACAUGCUGUUAAAACAUUACAUGCAAAUUGGUUCUAGAUAUCAGUUAUCAGCCUUUCUUGAUCACCAAUAAUUAUCAUUGGCCCUGAAAACCCCAUUUUGAUCAAUCCCUAAUUUUUAUGUAGAGGUUUUACUACCAUAACCUCCUACAUUUCUGUAAAUGUUGUGCAGUAACGUGCAACACCAGUCACACUUCUGUUUUUAUAGUGAUCUUAAUACACCAGAUAAGAUUUCUGUUUUUUUUCUAUACAUGCACAAGUCUCGCUCUACUUUUUUAAAACUGUUGAAAACUGUUGUCUGAUUGUGUGAAUGCACCGACAGGAUUGCUGCUUAGUUUCGUUUUCUGUUCUCGACACCUUGACUUCAUAACAGUGCACUAAACCCAAGGGUGCCAACAUGUUGACUUCCUCUGCGUGGCUGAAGGCCAACAGUUCCCAUCACGGACAGUUCCGACCUUGUCACUCUGAAGCAAAUAUUGACUGAGAAUACAAACACAACUUUAACUACAGUGGCAUGUGUGGGUAUUUUACAAUGUGGUGCGAUAAGUUUUUCUUUAAACAUUCCUCUAGGAUUGAUCUCAACAGGAGAAUUUCAACCAGGAGGAAUUUAGAGCUGGAUUGCGGUGAAACAUCAGUCAUAGUUACGCCUGAAAACGUUCCUUUAUAUACACUACCAUUCAAAAGUUUGGGGUCACUUAGAAAUGUCCGUAUUUUUGAAAGAAAAGCUUUUUUUAAAGUUAAAGUUAAAGUUCGUUUAUUUAUAUAGCACAUUUCAACAACAAGGCGAUUCAAAGUGCUUCACAAGGACAUUAAAACAGCAGAUGAAAACAAUUAUAAAAAGAAAGAAAACAUUUAUAAAAUCAUUAAAAAGGUCAUUAAAAUUUAAGGGUGCAGAAGAGUAAAAGAAUCAAAAACAGAAGUUGGGAAGCAAGGACAUUUUAAAAGUUACACUGCAGAGUUUGUCAUAAAAUAAGAUUUAAAAUAACUGUUAGAAGAACUUAGUCAAAAGCAGCUGAGAACAGGUAAGUCUUCAGAAUGGACUUAAAUGUGCUGAGAGUUUCAGCUGAUCUACAGUUUUCUGGGAGUUUGUUCCAAAUAUACGGAGCAUAGAAGCUGAAUGCAGCUUCUCCAUGUUUGGUUUUCACUCUGGGAGCUAAUAAAAGACCUGAUCCAGAUGACCUGCGUGGUCUGGUUGGUAUAUACUGAGUCAGGAGGUCUCUGAUGUAUUUUGGUCCUAAACCAUUUAAAGCUUUGCAGACCAGCAGCAGGACUUUAAAAUCUACCCUCUGAGUGACAGGAAGCCAGUGUAAAGACUUCAGAACUGGAGUGAUGUGAUCUACUUUCUUGGUCUUAGUGAGGACUCGAGCAGCAGAGUUUUGAAUCAGCUGCAGUUGUCUGAGUGUUUUUUUAGGUAAACCUGUAAAGAUACUGUUACAGUAAUCAAGCCGACUGAAGAUGAACACAUGGACGAGCUUUCCCAGGUCCUGCUGAGACAUCAGUCCUUUAAUUCUUGAGAUAUUUUUAAGUGAUAAUAAGCCAACUUUGUAAUUGCUUUGAUGUGUUUUUCAAAGCUGAGUUCUGAGUCCAUCACCACACCCAGAUUUCUGGCCUGGUCUGUGGUUUUUAGCUGUAGAGACUGAAGCUCUAAGCUCACUUUUAAUCGCCCCUCCUUGGCUCCAAAAACCAUUACCUCAGUUUUGUCUUUAUUUAGCUAAAGAAAGUUCUGACACAGCCGCUCAUUUAUCUGUUCAAUACACUUUCCCAGCACCUGUAUAGGGCCAUGUUCUCCUGGGGACAUUGUAAUGUAAAUCUGCGUGUCAUCUGCAUAGCUAUGGUAACUUACGUUAUUGUUUUCAAUAGUCUGGGCCAGGGCUGCAUAGUGGCGUAGUGGUUAGCACUUUCGCCUUGCAGCAAGAAGGUCCCUGGUUCGCGUCCCGGCUUUCCCGGGAUCUUUCUGCAUGGAGUUUGCAUGUUCUCCCUGUGCAUGCGUGGGUUCUCUCCGGGUACUCCGGCUUCCUCCCACAGUCCAAAAAUAUGCUGAGGUUAAUUGAUUAUUCUAAAUUGCCCGUAGGUGUGAAUGUGAGAGUGCUUGUUUGUCUUUGUAUGUAGCCCUGCGACAGACUGGCGACCUGUCUAGGGUGUCCCCUGCCUUCACCUGAGUCAGCUGGGAUAGACUCCAGCCCCCCCCGCGACCCUAGUGAGGAUUAAGCGGUGUAUAGAUAAUGGAUGGAUGGAUAGUCUGGGCCAGUGGGAGCUGUAGAUGUUAAACAGAAGAGGCCCCAGGAUGGAACCUUGGGGAACUCCACAUGUAAUAGCUGUCUGCUCAGACGUAAAGUUACCUAUAGACACGAAGUAAUUCCUGUCUUUUAGGUAAGAUUUGAACCAGUUGAGUACUGUGCUGGACAGUCCCACCCAGUUCUCCAGUCGGUUGAGUAGUAUAUUGUGGUCGACUGUGUCAAACGCAGCACUUAGAUCCAGCAGCACUAAGACUGUCAUCCUGCCGCUGUCUGUACUUAAGCGGAUGUCAUCAAUCACCUUAAUAAGGGCUGUCUCAGUGCUGUGAUGCUGCCGAAAACCUGACUGAAAAACAUUGAAACUGUUACUUUUUGUUAGGUAAUUGUUUAGCUGUUGAAAAACUGCUUUUUCAAUGAUCUUACUUAAAAAUGGGAGAUUAGAGAUUGGUCUGUAGCUGUUCAUUUGUGACUUGUCGAGGUUGCUCUUUUUUAGAAGUGGCUUAAUUACAGCAGUUUUUAAAGCCUGAGGGAAGACGCCUGACGUAAGAGACAAGUUCACAAUCCAUGAAAGAUCUGUCAGCAGUACCUGGGAAACUUUUUUGAGAAACCUUGUAGGUAGAAUAUCCAGGCAGCAGGAGGAGGAGUUUAGUUGAUGUAUAAUGUCCUCCAGGUUUUUGCGAUUGAUAGGAUUAAAUUGUAUCAUGGUGUUUAAAUUGGUUUUACGCUGACAUAGGACAUGUCCUGAACCUGCUGUGGAGGCACUAACUGCUUGUCUAAUGUUUUGGAUUUUCUCUAUAAAGAAUGAUGCAAAGUCUUUGCAGGCCCUGGUAGAAUGUAACUCAGGGGCUACUGACACACAAGGGUUUGUUAGCCUGUCCACAGUAGCAAAUAAGGCUUGUGUAUUGUGACUGUUUUUGGUGAUUAUAUCUGCGAAAUAAGAUUGUCUUGCAUUCCUCAGUUGUAAAUUGUAAGUGUACAGUUUCUCUUUAUAAAUGUUAUAAUAAACCUGAAGUUUUGAUUUUCGCCAUCUGCGUUCAGCUUUCUGACACUCUCUUUUGUUAUUUCUGACCAGUGUGGCAUUUCUCCAUGGAGAUUUUUUCUUACCAGAGAUCACUUUCUCCUUAGUUGGAGCAAUGGCAUCCAUAAUAUUUACAAUUUUAGCAUUAAAGCUACCUAUCAGCUCAUCAACUGAACCCCAAGACAGAGCUGGUGUUGAAGAGAAAGCCUGGUUAAAUAUCUCAGAGGUGCUUUCAGUAAUACAUCGAUUUUUGGUUACCUCUGUAAAAACUGUCGAUUGCACUGAGACGGUGCUCUCAAAGAAUACACAGGAAUGAUCAGAAAGGCCAACAUCACACACUGUGACAUUGGAAAUACUCAGACCCUUGGAGAUAAGUAGGUCUAACGUAUGCCCUUUGUCAUGUGUGGCCUCUGUUACAUGCUGGACCAGCCCAAAGUUGUCAAGAGUGUUGUACAGGUCUUUAGUCCCUUUGUCCUGAGGACUGUCAACAUGAAUGUUGAAGUCGCCAGCAAUAAUUACACAGUCAAAAUCAAUGCAGAUCAUAGACAGCAGUUCACUAAAAUCAUCAAAAAAGUUUGCACAGUAUUUAGGAGGCCUGUAAAUAUUAAGUAGCACAACUCGAGAUGAGGACUUCAGCUGAAGAGCUACGUAUUCAAACGAGGAGAAAUGUUCAGAGGAUAAUUGCUGAUAUUGAAACGAUUCAUUGAAUAAAAUUGCAACACCGCCCCCUCUCUUUUGCACCCUGGCCUCACUGAUAAAACUGAAGUUGGGAGGGGUCGACUCGAUGAGAACAGCUGCACUGUUAUUUUGGUCUAACCAAGUUUCAGUUAAAAACAUAAAAUCAAGAUUGUGCUCAAUAAUAAAAUCAUUGAUUAAAAAUGUCUUCCCUGCUAAAGAUCUAAUAUUUAAUAGAGCCAUCUUUAAUGUUUGGGGAGUUUUGCCUGCCUUGUAAGCAGGAGUUGUUUGUGGCUCACAAACAAUAUGUACUAUAUUUGAAAGCUUUUUCUUUCUGUGUCUUGACAUAGCCACCUUUCUUUUUCUGUUGCCUAUUAGGACAGAGAUGCUGGCUACCUGGUUUCCAUCAGGCCCUGGCUUUUCCUGGUUGAAAACAUUAAUAUUAGCUUUGAAGCCUGGACCCGGUACAUAUCAGACAUCAGAGACAACCCAGUAGUUAGCUUUUACAAUGAAGAUAACAUUAAAUUAAUCAGAAAUGCAAUCUACACAUUGUGGUAAAUGACUAUUCUACAUGGAAACAGCUGAUUUUUACCAUUUUUUUUAAAUGGAAUAUCUCCAUAGGGGUACAGAGGCCCAUUUCCAGCAACCAUCACUCCUGUGUUCUAAUGCUACAUUGUGUUACCUAAUCAUGUUGAAAGGCUAAGUGAUGAUUAGAAAACCCUUGUUCAGUUAUUUUGGCACAUGAAUAAAAGUGAGUUUUCACGGAAAACAUGGAAUUGUCUGGGUGACCCCAAACUUUUGAACGAUACUGUACAAGCCCUGCCUUCUGAAAGGAAAGCACGUGUAACUUGUCCUAAACCAAAUUUGACUUUUUCAGAGGUUUCUGUGCCUUUUUAUUUAUUUCAUAAUUUCUGACAUGUAGAUUUGGGUCAAAAGUGUGAAUAGUACAUUGGUCACAGCAGACCCCGCUAAAUCAUAUAUGUCAAUGUAAUGUGACCAAAAAUACCCAUUAGUGCAUAUUGAUAAGUGUGUUAUGUAAUCUUGAUGCAGUGGUCGCUCAGAACGAAAAAAGUAAAAGGCUAGCUUUUCCCCUUGAACUGCACAAAUUUUGCAUCUUUCUCUUUUCUAACAGUAAAGGGCAGAAAACAACCAUAUAAGAUGUGCAAUAGAGGAAUUUCCUGAAGUAAUGCCCCAAAUAAGUUGAGGCAUAUGAUCUCUUUUCCAAAUGAUGUGCUGUAUUAUUGUUAAGUCUCAUCAGCCGCUCCUAAUGUGGCAUAUUACUCCUCGUUGGUUUGCCUUUUUUCACAAAUUUAUGAAUUUAAGUUUGAGAUACCAGAAAACGAUGCUCAGCUUAUAACUAAUAAGCAAAAUGCACAGAACAUUAACCAAAUGUUACAGUUACAGGGAAAACAUCUCUAACUGCAUGCAAAGGAGUGACAGUGGUGACACCAGCAUCAUUCAAGUUGUAGUGAGGCUUUCAGUGGGGAGUUUUUUUCUUUGCAUUCCUGCAAAGUUCUCCUUAAAGACAGAAUGAGUUCUGUAAAGACAUUCUUUAUUUUAUUUUUUUAUUUAUUUAUUUUUUUCCAAAGAAAUAUUUUUGAGAAUGAGUACUGUAUUUGUCCUUUUGAAUUCUUAAAAUGAAAGUCAUAUACUGGAUAUUUGUGAUUAUGGUUGUCAGUAGGAGGUUCCCUGCAGAGCCAUCUUCUCGUUUACAGCCUUUUUGCUUGCUACCAUAAAGAUUUUUGCGGAGAUAGCUGGCACUUUUUUUUCCUUUAAUCAGUUUAGGUCCAUUUUCCCCACAUAAAACGACAUGCAAAAAUCAUAACACAGAACUUCUCUGGCAAUGCAAUGAACACUGUCCCAGAAGGGUUCAAGAACCGAGCAUCCCCAGAAUAUGAGUUCCAGCAUUUGGGUUGGGUGCCAGUCUGUUUGGACUUUUGUUUUGGAGUUAUAAAAUAUCUAAUACAGUUUUUCCAUGAGAAAUCCCUCCAUGUGUGGAGCAUUAGUUGUGAUUUGUGUGUUAUGUUUUUUUCAUUUUUGAGGGGCAAUCGCAUUCCCUAAUUCUUUUUCCCAUUUUACCUUUACAAAAAUUUGUUGAGUGACCUCUUAAUUCUGUAUAUGUACCUGAAUAAUUGUCCAGUAAUCUUUCUGGACAGUUUUGUAUUGUAGGUCCCGACAAACACUGAACACUAUACUCGAUACAUUUUUGGUAAGAGUCCUUUUCACAUUUUUAUUCUAAAGACAUUAGAAAAAUGUUCUUCAUUGUGAACCUUCCUUUGUCAUCAUGUAACAUUGUGGGAAUGUUCAGUGGAAUAAUUUUCAGUAACAUCUUACCUCUCCAACAUCCUCAAAACAUUGCUGGCAAGAUGUUCCACCUUUUAAUAUAUGACUCAUAUAAAAAAUAAAAAAAAAAAACAUCUUGAAAACAUUUUUGAAUGUUGGUUUGACCACAUUCUUCUGUUGUGAUCAUGGAACAUAAUCUGACAACCCUGAAAACUUCUCUGAAUGGUCCAAAUAAAACAUGGUGUCCCAAAUAACUACUAACCUUGUAGGGACUUGAUUUGAAAUGAGAAUUUUUCUUAAUACAUUCUUUAAACAUUAGAUUAAAAUGGUUUCUUUAAACCAUCAUUAGAACUUGUAGGUAAUGUUAGAACAUGUAGUGAGAAAGUUCCCUGCUUCUUGGGUCAGAACUGUAAUUAUUUCAAGACAUUUCUUCAUGAUUGUCUUGAUUAUGGGACAGAUUUGUCUCAGUUGGUCCUGUUACAAGAUUCUCAUUUCUGCAGUCAAAUUCACUUAUGUAUGCUGUACAACUAAAACAGCAAACCUUAAAACACAAUUAAAAAAAUGGGCUAAAAGACAAGUAGAAGGAGAUGGAGUAAACAUGUCGAGCUCUCCUUGAAUCACGUCAACCGAGAGACUUCAGCUGCAACAUCUGAGCAGUUUAAAAUAUUAGGAGGAGCAACCUAAAAGGUUCAAUCACCUUUAUUUUUGUGCAACUUAUGACUGCUCUACACCCACAUACAAGAAUUAAGAAUUAUAGCAGUCUGAGUGGUAAUGAAGGCAUGAAUAACAGUCUUUGGGAAAGACAUCAGCCUUCACCUCGGCUAAAGGUCUUAAUUUUAAAUCAUGUGUUUGGGGAAAUGUUCCAGUUAUUUAAUGCCAUUAGCAGAAUCCUCCACUGCAUUUAAGGACAACAUGAAAAAAGAAAUCAUACACAAAAAAAAUUGUCAAAGUGACUCCUUAUGUUGGAAAUGUUUACGAUCAGCAUUAGUUGUUUGUUUUUUCUCUUAUGGCCAUAAGAUGCAGUAACUCUUAAAGAGAAGGAAGUUCGAUCAGAGUGCAAAGAGUAUAUAACAUUUAAGGCAGAAGUGAGUUAAUAUCACUCUAACACGCCUGUUUUUCUGUAUUAACUUUCAGAGAGGAACCACAGUGACAUUAUAGACCAGCCCUAUUCAAUUAGCGGCCCGCGGGCCACAUGCGGCCCGAAAGCAACCCUCGAGUGGCCCUAAAGCAACUGCCGAGUGAUUGGGACUUGGGUCCGAGAAAAACAGAAAAACAUCUUUAAGUAACACUGACAAGUUCUUACAAAAAUUCCAACAUUAUUGCAAACAUUGAAUGCAACACUUACCGUAACCAAAAAAAAAAAAAAAAAAAAAACACUUACCGUAAUCUAGCAACUAACCCACAAUGCAUUGUGUUGAGGAGUCGCGUUUGAAAAGUUAACAUUAGCAGUUCUAUACAGGGGAAAAUGGCAGCAUGUCUUUUUCUAUCCUGAAACGACAAAUCGGCGAGGAAAACCGUCGGUUUAAUCCUGCGUGGACUGGCAAGUAUUUAUUUAUUUACCACCAAGUCCGAACGCCAAACCAAUGCGUUUACUCUGCAACGAGUGCUUUGCAGCGCUGAAAGAUUAUAAUGUCCGAAGACACCACGUUGGAAAAACAUGCCGCGUUUCGGACAAACUUUCCCGAGGGAUGUCAUGAGAGAGCGGCUAUAAUUCAAAGUUUGACUGCAUCUUACACCCGGAGCUGUACUACAAUGAAGCGGACCUGUCCUGUCUGCACUGUUCCCUCUAAACUGUGCGCGUGCGCAAUUGCGCACUGCUGACACGGUCUCCGCGCACAGAAAAUCUGCGCUGCGCACAAAAAGAAAAAAAAAUCCAACCUAAAUUGUAAAUAAAAUAAACACGUAACAAUUCAUUCUGUGCUAUUUUUCAAUGUGAGUCAGUGAGUGACCGGUGACUGGCUGCUGCAGCCAAUGAUGCGAUUCACAUACGUAUUUACCAUAGACUGUAUAUAAUGGUAUUUACGCAGCUAAUCAACGUCAGGCGUCCUUAUGUGCAGCCACCUGUUCUCAUAGAUAUGAAUGAGUAGACAGGACACGCCCCUUUGAGCUGCGUGCUACAGCGAGGCUAAGCUAGUGGGGGCAAAGUUUCAGUGCAUUCUGUUGAUGUAGACGGCGUGAAAACGGAAACAACAAGUAUGCCGGCUCACUGUGCUGCAUACAGUUACACACUGCGUCGUACGAUUAAGACAAGGAAACUUGGAAUGACUUUUCAUAGGUAAGAAUAGUUUUUGGCUCUUUUUUCAUUAUGAAAUCUUGUUGAGAGCUUCCAGUCUAUGAGAGCUAACUAGUUAGCCACUAGCAAAAUGCUAAGGCGAGCUAGCAGCUUGACAACCAAAUACCAGACGAUUAAUAGUAGCUGUAGUAUAGUUGUACAAGCAGUAGUAGUAAUACUAAAAGUACAAGCAGCAGUAGUAGUAUAAACAGCUGUUAGAGUCGUAGAAGUAGUAUCAGCAUUUGUAAUAGUAUUUCAAGUUGUAGUAGCAGUGCCAGUAUCAGCAGCAGUAGUUAGUACUACCACUGCUACUAGUAGUAGUCACAUUGCUAUUACUACCACCAAUACUACCAGUAGUAGUUAUAAAGCCUAACUCAUGUAUAUCCAGAUUACCAUCUAUGUUCUUCCUCCAAACCCAUUUUAUGAUUGGGAUUACAGGCAGUUCUUUAGGACUGCUCUCAAAUAAUUGAAAUGUUACUAAACAAGGUUAUACUUAUCAAAUUAAUAGCUCUGGUCUCCAGUAUAUUGGCGAAUUCGGUUCUUUGUACUUAAUUUAUUAGCAUGAAUUUCUUUUUAAUAUGUUGUGUACAGACUUAAUUACUUCUCUGUCUACUUUUCUUACUCCACGUAGGUUUCCCAGAGACUAUGGGUUGAGGAGGAAUUGGAAGUUUGUCGGCUUAGACCUGGUGUCAUUCCAUCAGUGUUUAACUUCCCGGCUCAUCUUGGAAGAGUACGUGCCAGAAAGACCACGACCAAGGCAGCCUUGAGAUGUUAGGCAGUGUCUCCCUGAGGUCCCUCUCUAUCUCCUCACACAUCCACCAACCACUGGAACACAUCUCCAAAGUUCUGCCGGGCCAGCUCAGCUUCCCCUCAGAAGAAGUGCUGCCACCUGCCAGAUGAAGGAGCCUUUUGAGAGGCAGCUGGCAUCGUGAUUGGACUGUACUUUGGUCUGUUCCAAUCCAGCUUCAGUUCCAGAGACGGCAGGCGAGACGAGUCAACGGAGGCCGGAUGGACGAAGGCAUGAAGCUGAGUACAAUCCAGAAAACAACAGAGGAGGAGUGCAGCAGCCCAGAGCCAGAACAACCAGAGUAUGUCUCUUAGAAAACAUCAUAGUAUAGCCUUUGGUAUGAAAAAACGCCAUCAUAUACAUCGUAUAUUGUACAAAUAACAAGUCAAAGGAAAGAGACAUCCGUUGUAGAAUUGUAGUAAUUGUGGGCUGACUGAUUUACUGAUUAUCAGUAUUUUAUUUUUUUACUGAUUUAAGGUAAUAAAUAAAUUUAAAAAUGG